UUCCAUCCCAAGUCUAUUGGAAUUGCCUUGAAUCACCACAUUGCUGAGAAGAGCCAAGUUCAUUGCAGUUAAUCAUCACAUAAUCUUGUGACUGGAUACAAUGUUCUCUUGAUUCUGCUUCUUUACUCAGCAUCAGUUUAUCCAAAUUACAUGGAAAGGAGAGCGUCAAGUCAGAAGAAGCCAUGAGUCGAAGUAGAGUUAGAGCCAGGAGAGAAUUACUUCGGAAGGCAAGAGAGAUAGAUUCAUCUUUGUGCUGGUAGAGGCUGAAGAAAGCAGAGGCAGAGGCUGAAGGACAAACCUUUGGAUUUGGAGACAUUUGGAGGGAGCUUUUGGAACUAAGCAGAGAGACAGGCCUCUAAGAAUCUAGCUAUCUAGGCCCAAGGAAAGAGACAAGACUUGGAAGGAGAAAUAAACAUUUGUAUUUUUACCAGCUGGCUGCAUUUGGGGUAAUUAUUGAUCUGAACUGAUACUAAGGCUGCCUCCAGAAAACCUCCCCGAGAAACCUGCUCUCUCCCCUAGAGAGAACCAUCAUUUAUAUUUCUUAUAUCAUUUUAAAGAAAAAAAAGAUCACUACAUUUUGGCAUUAUUGCACUACCCGUCUGCUUUAUUACUUCCUUACUAGUUCUAAGCAGUGUUUUUUUUUUUUUGGUUUGUUUGUUUGUUUUUUUAAUGAAGGCUAAGAUUGUCUUAGCUUCCUUGGCUUUCAUAUCACACUACUAACUUCUAUGGUGUUUGAAGUUUGCUAAAAAUCCAGUUCUUGUGCCAGCAUCCUGAAUAUUUUGCUUGUAAAGUUUUGUUUUGUUUUGUUUUGUUUAGGCCCAAGUGGGAGACUUUCUAUUUACCUCUAUUAAAUUUCAUCUUACUGGAUUCAGUCCAAUA